UGUGUCACAGUACAGAAUGAACGUUUCGAUAUGAAAUUUCAAGGAAAUAAAAUUUCACGCAUUUAUUGUUGAUCAUUUUUGGAGGGGGAGUUCCGUUUUUCGUUCGCCAAACAAACAUCAAUCAUCCGGCUGCCUGGGCUCAAAUGUAUUUUCCGUAGAGCUUCCAUGAGUACUUUUCGGGUAACAGAUUCGCGGGAGUUGAUGUGUGAACAAUAUGAAGUUUCAGCUCGUCGAGCUGGGGCGACAGAUAAUACAUCGCGAGGUCCACUGAGUUCCAAGUCAUCAUUUUACACCACAUUCAUGAAAUUUCAUAAGAAAUGAUUUGUGUCGUAGUACUUUUGUAAUGGAAAAUGUUCUAAUUACCGGCAUUUUUCA